rnacentral:rRNA from 1 species
AAUUUGAAAUCUGGCCCCCUCGGGGUCCGAGUUGUAAUUUGUAGAGAGUGCUUCGGAGGAGACCGCGGUCUAAGUCCAUUGGAACAUGGCGUCAUAGAGGGUGAGAAUCCCGUAUGUGACUGUGGCUCGAACCCGUGUGAAGCCUCUUCGACGAGUCGAGUUGUUUGGGAAUGCAGCUCAAAAUGGGUGGUAAAUUUCAUCUAAAGCUAAAUACUGGCUGGAGACCGAUAGCGCACAAGUAGAGUGAUCGAAAGAUGAAAAGCACUUUGGAAAGAGAGUUAAAAAGUACGUGAAAUUGUUGAAAGGGAAGCGCUGGCAACCAGACCUGUCCGUAGGCGAUCAGCCGCUGUUCUCAGUGGUGCACUCGCUCUGCGAUCAGGCCAGCAUCGGUUUCGGCGGUCGGAUAAAGGCCUUGGGAAUGUAGCUUCCCCUCGGGGGAGUCUUAUAGCCCUCGGUGCAAUGCGGCCAGCCGGGACCGAGGACCGCGCUUCGGCUAGGAUGCUGGCGUAAUGGUUGUCAGCGACCC